rnacentral:lncRNA from 1 species
UAUUUAAACAUAUUCAAUAAAUUUUUUCUUCUGUUGUAAAUUCUCUUAUCAAUAAUAAUUUUUGUAAAUUUAAAACUUAUCUAUUGGCAUUGAACUUAGCCCAAAUAAAGAAAUCUGAAUUUUUCAUACUUACAGGAGUGUGUUUAUCUCUUGAGAACCUAUGCUUCAAGGGUCCUAUGUUCGUAAAUUAAAUAAAAUUAAAAAACUACAAUUUUUAGAUGAAAAUUGGGGACUCUCUAAGUGCAUGCUUACAGCGCUUAGUGGUAAAGGUAUCAUUGUUUGUUUAGAAUUUAUUUUUGUCACUUGUUAUAGAAUUGCUGUUACUCCAUUUCCUUUUUCUUUAGACGAAAUAAUUAUUAUUGGCCAUUUCUUUUUAAUUUGUAUUGGAAAUAAUUCUCUCAAAAUAGCUCUACAUGUUUUUAUA